rnacentral:misc_RNA from 1 species
UCUGCAGGGCGUUGGAGUGGUGAGUUGGCAAACGUCUCAAAGCCAAUCGGGAACAGCCAUCUGGCACACUCCAAAUGGAAUCGGUUUUCGAAACAGGCAAAACAUACCAUGACAAAGCAAUGUACAUCUCACUGAUUGAAACUAUAGAUAUCCAAACUCCCCCAACUAAAUUCACAAGGGGGAGGAGCCUCAACACUGGAAAGUUCACUAAAAACGACUCGG